CGUCUGCUACGUCACUGCACUUCCGGCUAUGGCGGCUUAUUUUUGUUCAGGAGACCAAAGUUCACGUAGGCAGCGAGAUGUACCUAUUCGCGCUUUCUGAUUCGCAUCACGGGAUUUGAAUAUUAAGAGGACAUACUUUCAAUUUUGUUCCAACUAUUGUCAUUGAAUUGUGUCUGAAAUGGCCUCAGAUGAUAAGAAUCGCUUCUCCUCUGGACAACAACAUUACCUGAGAACAACGCAGUUGGUGGCGAUGUUGGCACUGACGUUCCUAUUGUUCGCGACACAAACCGAAGCCAAGUUUUGUACCUCUCUCAAGAUAAUGAAGCCAGAUGUAAACCAGUAUGGCCAAAAACUAUGCACAGAGUCCUACCAGUCCAGAUGUGGCUGGUUUACAUUCAAGAUGUGCACAUAUUACGAGAAGAUCCCAUGCACAAAGGAGCGGAAUGACACAAAGGCCAAGUUCAAGAUUGUGACAGAGUGUUGUAAAGGCUACAUGUAUGAUGCAAACAACAUAACAUGCAUCCGGAAUGAGACGGAGGAUGGCUCUGCAGGUGUUACAGUUAACACAAAUAAUGAUCAAAUCAAUGUAACUGAAGCUGAUGAGCUUACAACAAAAGCUGACGAAGUUACAACGAAAGGGGAUCCGGCAUCAGCAAAGAAUAUUCAAGACCCAGAUGAUGAUGACGGAAUUAACAUUUCCCAUGGUGCAUUUGCUGCCAUUGCCAGCGCAUGUCUGUUCAUCAUUUGUGUGACAGUUGUCAUUGUCAUCCAUGUCAGGAAGAAAUACUAUGUGCUGAAUGUAACACAGGAGGAGAUAAGAAAGUCUGUAGCGUAGGGUCUGACCCCUUCCUUGAUAUUCAUUUACAUACCCAUGUGCAACUGAAGGAAGAGAAGGCGAGGGAGGAGGCCAAGUCCCCCCUGGAGCUGGAGAAGAUGGUGCAGGCCUAACUUGAGAGGCAAGGAAGAGGUGAGGUCUGAAGCUGACGGAGGAAAUCGUGAAUGUCCUGAUGGUGGUGGCAGAGACUUGACAAGGAUGCUUGUAUAUUGGGCAAUGGAAUUUGGAAUUGGUAUUUUCAGUGUCUUGUGCUUGUGUGAUUCCAUGGAUCUAGUCGCCAGGAAAUCAUUCUUCAGGGAUUGUGGUUUAUUGUGGCCAUCUACAUGACAUCUACAGGAUGCCAGACAGGUGUGGAGUCACCACAACAGAUCAUACUGGAAAUUUCUUUUUACGAAAUUUCAAAUUGAUUAUUUGUCUGUUGGAAUAUAUUGUCCUUUUUGUGUCUAUAUGGGGAGGCUACAAAUAUUUUUGCUCAUGUGUAUUUCCAGUUUUCUUGAACAUGUUCAAUCUUCAGAUAUGAGAAUAGUCCUAAAAUUCAGGCUCUUAUAUUUGUAGUCUUGAAAUGGUUACAAAUUUUCAAGGUAAUUCCAUACACACUUGCAUGAGAGUGGAAACUUGUAUUGAACUGGAGAAUACUCAUGAACAGGUGCUUGUUGCAGCACCAUAGAUGCAGUGUCUCUGCACCCAGGUGCUUGUUGCAGCACUGUAGAUGCAGUGUCUCUGCACCCAGGUGCUUGUUGCAGCACUGUAGAUGCAGUGUCUCUGCACCCAGGUGCUUGUUGCAGCACUGUAGAUGCAGUGUCUCUGCACCCAGGUGCUUGUUGCAGCACUGUAGAUGCAGUGUCUCUGCACCCAGGUGCUUGUUGCAGCACUGUAGAUGCAGUGUCUCUGCACCCAGGUGCUUGUUGCAGCACUGUAGAUGCAGUGUCUGACUGCGCCCAGGUGCUUGUUGCAGCAGGUGUCUGUAGAUGCAGUGUCUCGGCGCCCAAUGUCUAUAGCUUGUCAUGUGUGUUAACUGUACAUAUUAUUUAUGAAGGAGCACAUUCCAUAGACACAGUGCAAUGUCCUUUUUUGUCAGGUAUCUUUUACCUGUUUUUUUUCAUCAGAUUUUUUUUCAGAUUUCUUUCUUUCC